CCCUUGUACACUUAGCUCAGUUUACUUUACACAAAUAUCACACUAUGCAAAAUUAUAGUGCACUAUCACAAUCAGGAUGCUGACAUUGAUAUAACCACACAUCGUAUUCAGAAUUUCCCCAGUUUUACUUGCACUCAUUUGUGCGUGUUCAUUAAGUUCUAUACAACUUUUCACAUGAGUGAGUCAUGUAACCACCACCAUAGUCAAGAUAAAGAACAAGUUUAAUCCCCAUAAGGAUCCCCUGUACUGCCCUUUUAUAAGAGUACCUACCUCUCUCCCACCUCCUCUUUCCCCCACACCUGUCCCUAACCCCUGAAAACCACUACUCUGUUCUCCAUCUCUAUAAUAGUGUUACUCCAAGAAUGUCACAUUAGAAUCAUGCAGUAUGUGUUUGAUAUGGUUUGGCUGUGUCCCCACCCAAAUCUCAUCUUGAAUUCCCAUGUGAUGUGGGAGGGACCUGGUGGGAGGUAACUGAAUCAUUGGGGCAGGUCUUUUCUGUGCUGUUCUCAUGAUGGUGAGUAAGUCUCACAAGAUCUGACAGUUUUAUGAGAAAGAGUUUCCCUGCACAAGCUCUCUCUUUGCCUGCCACCAUCCAUGUAAGAUGUGACUUGCUCCUCCUUGCCUUCUGCCCUGAUGUGAGGCCUCUCCAGCCACGUGGAAUUCACUGACAAUAUAUAUAGAUUUCAAUGUUGGGCUUGUUUUCUGCCCGGACCAGGAUGUAAGCUCCAUGAAGACAGUCUCAAUUUUGUUCACUACCGCAUCAUCAGUUCCUAGAACAGAGCCUGGCACCUCUGCAGAAUGUUAAAUGGCUCUUCGUGAAUCAACUCCAGGAUUCCCAUUGGUGGUUUGAGGAAUUUUCUUAACACACCAACGACCACACGAUAGUGAUGAUAUUGGCAAUUAUGGCCAUGGUGACUAUGAUCCCAAAAGAAAAGAAGACGAUGCCAAAGGCCGGUGGGUCACGACUUCGUUUUAAGGCUCAUUAUCACGGGAAGGCGUCCUCUUCCUUGGAAAUCUAAAUGCAGAACACCCAGCCAUCUUCAGGAAGCCUGUGUGUGCCAAGUCAGGCAGGGCAAAACCUUAUACCUGCAUGUUUUCCUAAUGUGAGAGACUGCUCUGUAAAUUUCUUUCUAGUGCUCAGUCGAGUUAAUAUGGAAUUUGCAUAAGCACUUGGCAAGAAAUAACGUAUGUCUCUGUAAUAUUUCCGAGGCAGUAUUUUCUCCUCCAAACCCUGACCUCUGUAGGAACGGGACUUAACAUUUGCCUCCCAAAUGCAGAGUAGGGCUGUAUUUAACUUACCCAGUGAAGUCUCCCCUAAGCACUCAGGGGACUCAAACCACAGAAACCAACAUUUGGUCUCUUUGAAUUAAGUCUUUUCAUAUAAUUGAAGCAGCCCAAGAAACCUCCCAGAAAAUGUUUCGGAACACAAAUGUGGAAUGGGGCAUCCAAUUAACAGCAAUAACAUUUUGUUCAAAAAUAACUUUUGCAGACAUAUUGCGAUGUCCAAAACAGAACUGCCCAUUGCUGGCCUCCAAACCACUCUGCUCCUCCCACAAGUGUUCUCCUAUCUUAGUAAAUGGCACCACCAAUCUCCCAGUUGCUAGGGCCUAAACCUUGGAGGCAGAAGUUCCCCCCUCCCCUGGUCUCACUCACUCCAUUACCAAAUCCUGAGAACUGUGUCUCCUAAAGUCUUGAAUGUGUACACUCAUCCCUGCCCUGAAUAACUGCACAACAGCCUCCUCCAGCCCGUUUUUUUUACCCAGCAACCACGGGAAGCUUCUUAAAAAGUAAAUCAGAUCAUGUUGUUCCCUUGCUUAAAACCCUCUAGUCUCAUGUCCCAGGCCUUCCAUCUCACUCACAGUAAAUCCAAAUUUCUGUUCAUGGUCUACACAGCCCCACAUGAUCUGAUCAGGCCCCUGCCUCCCUAUUUAAUUCUUCAACUCAUUCCAGCUUCCCUUCUACACUGCCUCCCGCCCCACAACCGUCACCUCCCUGACCCCACCACUCCACCUGUCUGGAAUAACUUCCCUUCCUUCCUUCACCUGGCCGUUCCCAGUUUAUCCCUCAUGCCAUAAAAGAACAUACUGUUCCCAGCCUAGGAAAGGCUCAGGACCCAUGCCUUCUACCCUCACAGACCCUAUGCUGAGUCCACCUUAACACUGAGCUUUGAAUCCAGAUGUGAGUUCAACUUGCUUUGCAAUUUGCUGUCUCCUCACACUGGUCCUGUUUCUCAACCCUAGCAGCAUGACAGAAUCUUUGAGGAAGCUUUUUUUUUUUUUUUUUUCAUUUAAAUUGAGGUAAAAUUCAUAUAAUAUAAAAUUAACCUUUAAAUGUGUACAAUUUAGUGGCAUUUACUACAUUUGCAAUAUUGUGCAACUAUCACCUCCAUCUAGUUCUAGAACAUUCCCAUCACCCCAAAAGGAAAUCCCAGACGCAUUAAGCAGUCACUCCCCAUUAGCCCUCCCCCAGCCCCGGGCAACCACUAAUCUUUCUGUCUUUAUGGAUUUUGCCUAUUGUGGACAUUUUGUAUAAAUGGAACCAUACACUAUGUGGCCUUUUGUGUCUGGCUUCUUUUGCUGAGCGUAAUGUUUUUGAGGCUCGUUCAUGUUCUACUAUGUAUCAGAAUUUCAUGUCUUUUAUGGCUGAAUACUAUUCAAUUGUAUAAUAAUACCACAUUUUGUUGAUCCAUUCAUCAGUAGACAGAUAUUUGGGUUGUUUCCAAUUUGGGGCUAUUGUGAGCAAUGCUGCUAUGAACACGGAUGUACAUACAAGCUUUUUGGUGGACAUGUGUUUUUAUUUCUCUCGGGUAUACACAUGAAUUGCUGGGUAUCAGGGAAGCUUUGAAAACCACGUUUGCCAGGGCUCUACUCUCCAAGUUUUCAAUGUACUUGGCCUGAGGUAGGAUAAGGCAUUCCUAUCCAUCUAAAAGCUGAGACCAUGGCUGGGCAAACUAAGGCCAGUGGGCCAAGUCCCGCCCACUGCCUGUUUUCAUGUGACCCCUAAACAAAGAACGGUUGAGAAAAAUAAAAACGAAGAAUAUUUUGUGA
rnacentral:lncRNA from 1 species